rnacentral:rRNA from 1 species
AGUGGACGCUGGCGGUAGGCCUAACACAUGCAAGUCGAACGGCAGCACAGUAAGAGCUUGCUCUUACGGGUGGCGAGUGGCGGACGGGUGAGGAAUACAUCGGAAUCUACUUUUUCGUGGGGGAUAACGUAGGGAAACUUACGCUAAUACCGCAUACGACCUACGGGUGAAAGCAGGGGAUCUUCGGACCUUGCGCGAUUGAAUGAGCCGAUGUCGGAUUAGCUAGUUGGCGGGGUAAAGGCCCACCAAGGCGACGAUCCGUAGCUGGUCUGAGAGGAUGAUCAGCCACACUAGAACUGAGACACGGUCCAGACUCCUACGGGAGGCAGCAGUGGGGAAUAUUGGACAAUGGGCGCAAGCCUGAUCCAGCCAUACCGCGUGGGUGAAGAAGGCCUUCGGGUUGUAAAGCACUUUUGUUGGGAAAGAAAAGCAGCAGGUUAAUACCCCGCUGUUCUGACGGUACCCAAAGAAUAAGCACCGGCUAACUUCGUG